rnacentral:rRNA from 1 species
AUGCGCGGCGGUGAGCGGCUUCUCGUCCGGCACAUGUGGCCGGCAGCUCGCGUAGAGGCAGCAGCUCCAGCACCGGCGCACGGACCUUCUCCUCCUACUCCUCCUUCCGGCUCGUGUGCCCUUCCACCGCCGACAGCCUCCCACCCACCGGUGCCGGCGACUCCCCCAGCCACGCCGCGGAAGCAGCAGCAGCAGCAGCAGGUCGUCCGUUCUCCCCCGCCGGUGUCACCUGACUUCUUCGUAAAGGACGGACGGGAGAUUCGAGUUGGCGACUGUGCUCUUUUUCGUGCUAUUGAUGUUCCUCCUUUCGUUGGAUUGAUACGUUGGAUUGAGAAGCAGGAAGAAAGCAAUCCCAAGUUACGUGUAAGUUGGCUAUAUAGACCUGCUGACGUCAGGCUCAACAAGGGGAUACAACUGAACGCUGCCCCAAACGAGGUCUUCUACUCUUUCCACCAAGACGAGACAUCUGCUGUUUCACUGCUCCAUCCUUGUAAAGUUGCCUUUUUACAUAAAGGUGCUGAGCUGUCAUCUGGGAUUUCUUCAUUUGUAUGUCGGCGUGUGUAUGAUAUUGACAACAAGUGUUUAUGGUGGCUUACCGACAGAGAUUAUAUUAAUGAAGAAGUAAAUCGGCUCCUAGACAGAACGAGGCUAGAAAUGCAUGGUGCAGUGCGGUCAGGUGGGCACUCACCAAAACGGCCAAAUGUUCUGUCAGCUUCCCAGCAAUUGAAGGCUUGUUCAGACGGUGCUCAAAAUUGUGGCCCAUCUAAAGGGAAGAAGAGGGACAGAGGUGAGCAAGGAAUUGAACCAGCUAAGCGAGAUAGUGAUUGUCCUCCUAAGGUUGAUGACGGUGAACCUGGAAAUGUUAAGGGGGACAAUAUGAAGUCUGAAAUUGCAGAGAUGACAGAAAAGGAUGGACUUCCUCAUGCUGAAGCUGUCGACAAGCUAGUUCAAUUCAUGCAACUUGAUCAAAUUGAGCGGAAAAUGGACCUUGCCGGCCGAGUAAGGCUUGCUGAUAUUAUUGCAGCCACAGAAAGUCCUGAUUGCCUUAGCAGAUUUAUGCAACUAAGGGGCCUUCCGGUCUUGAAUGAUUGGCUUCAAGAAACUCACAAAGGGAAGUCUGGUGAAGGGGGUAGUCCUAAAGAAACUGAUAAGCCUACUGAAGAACUUAUCCUGGCCCUGCUUCGUGCACUAGCGAAAUUGCCUAUCAGUCUGAUUGCCUUACAAAGCUGCAGUAUUGGGAAAUCUGUCAAUCAUCUGCGCAGCUAUAAAAAUCCGGAGAUACAGAGGAAGGCUAGGUAUCUUGUUGAUAGCUGGAAGAAGCGUGUUGAUGCUGAAAUGAAGUCGUCUGAUGCAAAACCUGUAGUGUCAGGUCAAGCUGUUUCCUGGUCAGGAAAAGUGGGGUUCCCGGAAAUUUCUAGUGCUGGAAUAGGACGAAGUGACUCAAGUGAGCCCAGUCCGAAAAGUGCAGGGUUUCAUCUUUCUUCACCAAAGGCUUUGAGUGCUACAUCUGGUGCUGCUGAUGCUGUUGCAAAGUCAAAUCCUUUCACAUCUGGCUCUUCAAAAUUACAACACAUGCAACCAGCAAAUGCUGCAGCCAACUUAAAGGACUCACCAUGCAAAUCAGCUGCUGGGACUUGUGGCCCUGAUUUUCCUACAGUGAAAGAGGAGAAAAGUUGCAGUUCAAGCCACUCAUUGAAUAACAGCCAGUCAUGCUCUAGUGAUCCUGGAAAAACAGUUGGUUCUUUGAAGGAGGAUGCACGGAGCUCAACUGCUGUUUCAGCGAGUGCCAGUAAAAUUUCUGCACGUGGCCAUCGAAGGGCAAACAAUGGGCUUCUUGGUUCUGGAUUCCAGAAGGAAGCUGCUUUGGGAAGGUCCAGCCAAGGUGAUCGUACUUUAUUGCAAGAAAGAUCAUCACAGUCUGGCUUGGCAUGUGAGAAAGGAGCGGACACACCUCACAUCAACAAUCAGAGAUUGAUUGUUCGGUUUCCAAAACCAAGUUGUAGCCCUGCUAGGAGCACAAGUGGGGGCUCUUGUGAGGAGCCAUCAGUUUCAGGGAGUAGAGCUUCAUCUCCUGUUCACGCAGAUAAGCAUGAACAGAAUGAUCGUAGGGUGAAAAUGAAGGUUGAAAAUUCUCAGGCUCAUUUAGGUUCUGAUGCUAAUGCUCAGCCUGAGCGAAGCAAUGAUACUAAAAGAAUUGCAGGUUCCGAGGAAGGUGAUAAAUCACCUUGUGGUAUGCUGGAUGGUGACUGUAGCAGGACUGCUGAAGAAUCUGCUAAGGAUACAUGUGCAUCACGAGUUGCAUGCUCGGCAAAUAUGGAUGAAAAAGACGUCUGCUUAGGUGAAACCAGAGUGCGGAACUCGUUCAGCCCUUUGAAUGCUUUGAUUGAAAUCAAAUACGCCGAAGGUAGUCAUUCCAUGCAAGCUGGAGAUGAUACAGCAAUGAAUCUUCUUGCUAGUGUUGCUGGAGAAGUAUCUAAAUCUGAAUUGAUGUCAUCUGCUUCACCGACGAAUUCGUCUGCAAAUAAACAUGGCUAUGGAGGCCAGAAUAUUCAGAAGCUAAAAGUAGAGUGUGAUGCAGGCCCAUCACAGCACCUGGAUCCAUCAGAUGAUGUUGAGAAAGUCAUCUCUGAGAAGGAAGACAAAAAUGAUGAGGAACGACGCUUGAGGAAUUCUGGAACUUAUUUAUCAUCCCAUGACAAGAAGGGAACAUCAUCUACUAACCCGCCUCUACCUGGAAUAGAUUCUAAAGCUGUUGAAUCUUCAGUUGAUUUACUUGGUGGUGGUGAUCAGAAGCCAAAUGCCAGACAGCCAACUGAUAUUAAGAUUGAUGCAAAGUUCAAUAUCAGCAUUGCUGAUGCCGACACGGCAUCAGGCAGUCAAUGUAGUGUGGUUGCUCCAAAUAGAACAUUACUCCCCUCUGAGGAAUCGUCUUUAUGUGGUGCUGAUAAACAAGGUCAAGGUUUAUUGAAAUCAUCAGAUCAGACACAUCUUCAUGGUCUACCAGAUCGCCUCGAAACCAUCAGAUCUACUGAUAACAGUGGCACUGGCAAAUUGGAUUCAAAGACUUCAUUCUCAUCUUUGGCUGUGGAUAUAAAAAAUGCUGAUGGUCUAGUGGUUUGCAAUAAAGUGCUGAAAGAGCAUGAGAAAAAAGAACAACCUGCGUCCACUUCAGCUGAUGUUACCAAACCAGAUGUAUCAGUAGUGCCACUUGGUGCAGCGAAUGGGAUAUCUGUGAUUAAAGAAUCAAAAGACUGUUCCAGUGAAUCAAGUAGUCAAGCAAAACAUCGGACUAUCAUGUCUCAGGAUACCGAGCAUACUGCAAGGCACAGUUCAAAGAAACCGAGUGAUGAAGUGGGUGGGAAAGAGGACAUUGUCUCAUCAGAUGAGGGUUCUUCUAUGGCUAACACCAACUCAAAUGGUACAGCUAAGCUUGACUUUGAUUUGAAUGAACUUGGGGACGAGGGGAAUCACUCUGAGCCAGCUACCUCUACUGUUGUAUGUUCUUCUGCAAUUCAUUUACCUGGUCUUUCUCCAUUCGUCUCACCUAUUUUAAGUGGUCUGCCGGCCCAAAUAACAGUUGCUGCUCCAGCUAAAGGACCUUUUGUCCCUCCCGAGAACCUACUAAGAGUGAAGCCUGAGGCUGGGUGGAAAGGUGCAGCAGCUACAAGUGCAUUUCGUCCUGCGGAGCCACGGAAGACUUUAGGGAUGUUUCUAACUACACCUGGUAGUGCAGUGUCUGAUGCUGCCGGGAGGCAAUCUCGCCAAGCAUUUGACAUUGAUCUAAAUGUAGCAGAUGACCAAGUUCUAGAGGAAGAUAUCUCACAGAGUUCUGCCCGGACAAUUGGUUCUGAAUCUGACAACCCUAGAAGUCGCAGUGGCCCUGUACGAAGUGCUGGCUUUGAACUUGACUUGAAUAUGGCCGGCGAAGUUGCAGAGAAUAACCAAUUUAUCUCAAAUGCUUCACACAGAGUUGAAGUCACAUUGUUGCCAUCAAGACCGUUACCAGAAGGUUUACCUAAUACUGAUACAAGUAGCUCGAGGAACUUCUUUGAUCUCAAUAACGGACCAAGCCUUGAUGAAGCCAGUACAGAAUCUGCACAAAGGACCCUGUCAUCUAAAGGUGCUAGCAGCAUACCAUUCCUACCUCAAGUUGCUGGCCUUAGAAUGAACAAUACUGAAAUUAGUAACAUGUCACCAUGGUAUGCUUCUGCCAACCCAGGUGGUCCCGUAGCUAUGCAGUCGUUUUUUCCUCCUAGAGAACAGUCUUACCCAAUUGAAACAGCACCUGGAACCCAGAGGAUCAUUGCACCUACUGCAGACGGCGGCCAAUUUGGAAGUGGUUCAGGCAGGCCUCCAGUUAUUUCCACAUCGCCAGCCAUGGUCUUCCACCCUCCUGCAUAUCAAUAUGCAGGAUUUCCUUUUGCUCCCGGUGUUCACCUUCAGUCAGCAGGGUUUCCAAUUGGAUCGGUGCCAUAUGGCAGUUCUGCACCAGCAGGAGUUACAUAUUUUCCAACCAUUGCUCCAUCAUUUGCUGGGUCAACAGGCGCUUUACCUGCCCAGCAUGCAAGGCAGUAUGCAAUAAACCUUCCUGAAGGUAGCAGCAGUGAUGGACAUGACAGUAACUGGAAAUGGAGAAGACAAGGGCUUGAUCUUAAUUCUGGCCCUGGAAGUAUAGAUAUAGAAGGGAAAGACGAGCGAGUACCUCUAUCGCUUAGGCAAAAUUUGAUCACACCGCCACAAGCGUUUGUGGAGGAGCAAGCAAGAAUGUUACAAAUGGCGGGUGUAGGAAUAAAGAGGAAGGAACCCGAGGGCAGUUGGGAUGCUGAAAGAGCAUCAUCAUACAAACAACUAUCAUGGCAAUAA